UCUAUACAAGUUGUGAUAUUAGUUGGAUACAAACUGUGUCACCUGAUUGGCAGAUGUGCUGCAGCCACCUGUUGGCUGGUUUAAUUAAUGCACCUACAUUAGUGGGUAGGCUGAGCAGUUGGAGUGCGGCAGGCUUUAGAGAGUAAAUACAUGAGGUGUGUGUUUCUGACAUAAUGUAAGUAGUUUCUGGUUUGUUCUUCUUUGGAGUGUUUAAUUAGUAUCUGUGAAGGGAAUAUUGUCCAUAUUACCUAACCUACACUUGAAAUGACUGCGCUGUGUAAAUAUGUGAAUUAUCCUGCCACUUGCCUGACAUAAUUACCUCCUUUUUCAUGUCUUUGUUAAUGUGCAUCGCUAUUUAAAGCAUAUGUAAGCCAGUAGAGAAUUGGGUCCAAUUAUAUCUUUAUUUUUCUAUAGUUUCCUUAUUUAUCUCAUUUUCAUUUGUUAAUCAAUCUGUCAAUCACUUAUUUGACACACACACACACACACACACACACACACACACAGUCCUUAUUUGUCAUAUCAACUAGAGCAAACUUAUGAUUGGUUAGAGGGAGUUAAGUCCCACCCUCUCUUCACGCAGAAGUCAGUGAGUUGCAGUGCGGGUAAAACAGCAGCGGUCGGAGCGGAUGAGAAAUAGAGAGUUAGAAUAGCGAUUAUUAACAUAUCCAUGAGAUAAAAUACUCUUCUGAAUGCGUCAGAGGUGUGCGAGGGUCCGUGAGCCAGGAGUAGUAGUACUUUUGGCAUUAUCGUCUUGGCUGGGUUUUUUGAGAACUAGAGAACUGGAUGUGGAUUCUCCCUGUGGAUGGGAGAUGGCUAGCCCCCAGUGAGAUCUCUUCUUAACCUAAGGAGUGAGGAACCGAGACCUGAGAAGAGGACCUCAUAUCUUUUUGCUUUCACUCAAGUAUCAGUGUGGUAGGACCACCACACAUCCGACUACUUGAAUUUUCCCCCCUGACUUGACAUAAAACAUUGACUUGAGCGCGCUGACUGAUAUCGCAAAGACAUUAAAGGGACAUUACACUCAUGGACACUUUCAAUUCAAGCUCUGCUGAAAGACUGUGAAAUCUUGAGAUACUGAUGAUAAUUGCACUGCAUUUUAUGUUCAUGUUUUAUAACUUGGUACAGUAAACUUACCUCAACGUUC